CCGCAAGUAGCUCAGUUGGUAAGAGUGUUACCUUGGUAAGGUAGAGGUCCCGAGUUCAAAUCUCAGCAGGA
rnacentral:tRNA from 1 species